rnacentral:lncRNA from 1 species
UUAAUUGUUGGAACUUCAGGUUCUCAACACUGUUAAAUUUUGAACUUCAGGCCAAAGCCACAUAUUCUCAUGGUAUGGACAUUUUUACAAUUUUCUGUACAUAUUUCGGGAUUUCAAGCCCUUACAUAAUUGUCCAUAUUUUGAGGAACUUCUGGCAUCUCAUUUAAUUGCACAUCCAUGAGUUUAAGGGACUGCAGGUUCCCUUUUGUAUAUAGUGACGGUUUACCCAAAAUGGUUAAUAUUUAUGCAUACGUCACUAUUCAUGUGAAUAGUACUAUUCAUCAAGUCAUGAAUACAUAUCUAUUCAUCUGCCAGUACAGUUAUCAUCAAUGUGUACGGCACCAUGAACCAAUACGGUACUGUUACAUCAUUAAGGAACUCUAGGUCUUUAUUUACAUGUCGGGAUCAAGGACCUUUAAGUCCAAUCACAUGUUUACAAAUACAGUACCGGAGAGACUGCCAGCUCUCAUAUCAUCAUCAAGGAUCUUCAAGUCCUGAUGUAAUUGUAUGAUGAGGAUCAAGGAACUUCUGGUCCUGAUCUGCAUACUGGAAAAACUCAUCAUACAGCACAAUUAAUCCAUAAAAUAAAUUGCUAAUAAAUAAAUUACUGGUAUGGACGAUAAACCCGCACCACACUUUAAAUAAAUGUAAAUGUGCGGUAAAUUAAAUUCAUAAAAUUAAGGUGCUUGUAUGGGCAUUAAUUCUGCUCCAUAUAUUUAAAUAAAAGUAAAGGCGUGGACGAUAAACCCGCACCACCCUUUUAAAUAAAUGUAAAUGUGCGGUAAAUUAAAUUCAUAAAUUAAAUUGCUUGCUGUAUGGACGUUAAUCCCGCACCAUACUUUAAAUAAAAUUAAAUGUGCGGUAAAGUAAAUUGUGCUUUUAUGGGCACUAAUUCUGCUCCAUACAUUUAAAUAAAAGCAAAGGCGUGGACGAUAAACCCGCACCACCCUUUUAAAUAAAUACUGUUGUAUGGGUAAUAAACCUACACCAUACAGUAAAUAAAUGUGGGGUUAAAACCACCACCGAAUAAAAUAAGAAAAAGGUUAGUAUUAGUAACGGUCUCCCACUGAUAAUAUGUUUAGUAUUACCAAGGGUCCAUUUUUGUUAGUGGUUAGUAGUAUAGAUAAUAGUGCAACACAAAAAUUAUACCUGAGAGCUUCUCGUGCUGAUAACGUGUUAUAAAAAUAACCUGGAAUAUGUAUGAAUAUUGAGCUGCACGUAAAGUAGAUGAGACACAGCAUUUAACGAGGUUCGGCUAUGCCUACGUCCUCGGAGAGCAGCAGCAGUAACUUUUUCACUAUAUAAAGUAAUAGGGCUACAACUUUAGAGUUUACAAUAUGUGAGGCUCACUGAAUUUUCUCUCUCUUUCCUCUUCUAUCUUUCCUCCUCUUUUUCCUCUUCUUUCCUCUUCUCCUUUUCCUUUCUUCUUUUCUCCUCUCUUUUCUCUUCUCCCCUUUCUUUCUUUUCUCCAUUG